AGAUUGAACGCUGGCGGCAGGCCUAACACAUGCAAGUCGAGCGGCAGCACGGGUACUUGUACCUGGUGGCGAGCGGCGGACGGGUGAGUAAUGCCUAGGAAUCUGCCUGGUAGUGGGGGAUAACGGCUCGGAAACGGACGCUAAUACCGCAUACGUCCUACGGGGGAAAGCAGGGGACCUUCGGGCCUUGCGCUAUCAGAUGAGCCUAGGUCGGAUUAGCUAGUUGGUGAGGUAAUGGCUCACCAAGGCGACGAUCCGUAACUGGUCUGAGAGGAUGAUCAGUCACACUGGAACUGAGACACGGUCCAGAACU
rnacentral:rRNA from 1 species